rnacentral:ncRNA from 1 species
AAAAGGUUUGGUCCUGACCUUACUAUCAACUUUUUCUUAACUUACACAUGCAAGUCUCAGCACACCCGUGAGAACGCCCUUCUACCCUUUUCAAGAAGAAGGAGCCGGCAUCAGGCACAGAAUCUCGCCCACGACGCCUAGUUUCACCACACCCCUAAGGGUAUUCAGCAGUGAUAUACAUUGUUUAUAAGCGACAGCUUGAUUUAGUUAAAGAAAAUCAGAGCCGGCCAAUCUGGUGCCAGCCGCCGCGGCUAGACCAGCAGACUCAAGUUGAUUGUUACCGGCGUUAAGCGUGGUUAAAGAAACCUCUAAUUAGAGACAAACACGAACCCAGCUGUAAUAAGCUUGUCAAGAGGAAAAACACAUACGAAAGUUACUCUAAUACCCUUGAACCCACGAAAGCUAGGAAACAAACUGGGAUUAGAUACCCCACUAUGCCUUGCCAUAAAAUAUCAACUCACAACUAAAACGCCUGGGAAUUACGAGCCAAGCUUAAAACCCAAAGGACUUGACGGUGUCCUAUCCACCUAGAGGAGCCUGUUCUAUAAUCGAUACUCCCCGCUACACCUCACCAUUUCUUGUUUAUCAGCCUGUAUACCUCCGUCGCAAGCUUACCAUAUGAAUGACUUACAGUAAGCCCAACCAGGUCUUUCCACCAAUACGUCAGGUCAAGGUGCAGCUUAUGAAAUGGUAAGCAAUGGGCUACAAUUUCUAACUUAGAACAUACCAAACGCUGUAUGAAACACAGCUAUAAAGGCGGAUUUAGUAGUAAAAAGAGAAUAGCAUGUUCUUUUUAAUCCGGCACUAGGACGUGUACACACCGCCCGUCACCCUCUUCAACAAACCCCCUCCACAUUCUUAAUACACCAUUAAUACUCUAGAAGAGGUAAGUCGUAACAUGGUAAGGGUACUGGAAAGUGCACUUGGAAUAA